AAAAGCGCUCAACUCUCCCCCAAGCCGCGGCGCGCACCCGUCGGCGCCGAGCGCGCAGCCUGUUUCGCCGCCGCCUCCCGGCCCCGCCGCCACCGCCGCCGCCGCUGCCGCCGGGCAGGUUUACGUUCCUAACAAGAUUAUGGCUGAAUUAGGAGUUCUUUCAGAAACAAGAGAACGCCUUUACUGAAGAAACAACGUAAGAAAUUGGUUGUAAUACUAGAGCCUUGGAGAAUUUAGUCACAUGGGACAGCAAGAGACUCUUGAGCUCCCACUCAGGCUGAUGGUUGCUACUGACUCCCCACUUGUCCCAUGAAAUCUUCCAGGACUGAUUAGCCUCGUGUUUUCUCAACCUCAGACUAUCUCUCCUCUCAGUCCCAACCUCUGAACCUUAAAUUAGAGCAAAUACCAAACUGCCUGGCCAAGACCACAGCCUCUCAGUCUCAGAAGAAUCAAGAAGCAAAAUCAAGAAGCAACAUGUCAUCUAAAGUGACAAGAGGCUCUUCAUAGAACAUACUGAUUCUACUCAUGAAUACACUAAUCUACAAGAAGUUUGAUUGCCCCAAAUCCUUGUCAACACAUGGCAUUGUCAAUCUUUUUAAGAUACACACUGGGGAGUAUCUACAUGAAGAGAACAAACAGGUAGAGCAGCAGGACAAGAAACAGAGAGAUAAGAGAAAUCAAGAGAACAUGGAGUCCUAGAUUCCAAGGAGGAAUGUUCCAGGAGGGACUGAUAGAGAUCACAAGUAGGUAGAGACAGAGAGGAGGAAGCAGGCUCCCCGCCGAGCAGAGAGCCGGAAGCGGAAGCGAGGCUCAAUGUGAGGCUAGAUCCCAGGACCCUGAGAUCACAACCUCAGUCAAAGGAAGAGGCUUAACCCACUGAACCACCCAGGUGCCCCAGGUUACUGCACUUUAAAUCCCAGGACUUUGUUGCCUCUCCAAUAAACAGAAUAUCCAUUGCAAGAUUGUUGAUCCAACUGUAUAGUUUAGCUCUAAUCACUAAAAACCUAAAAAUUGUCCUAAUAAGACCAAAUGUUUUCUCCUUAACAGUGUGUGAAAAAAAAAAAAGAAAAAGAUUUUAUUCUUUCUGUGACAUUAGUUUCAAAGAGUGGAAACAUAUACCUUUUAAAGAGCAUUCCUUUAAUAAAUUUAUUAGGAUCUCA